rnacentral:rRNA from 1 species
UCUACGGGAGGCAGCAGUGGGGAAUAUUGGGUAAUGGGCGCAAGCCUGACCCAGCAACGCCGCGUGAAGGAAGAAGGCUUUCGGGUUGUAAACUUCUUUUAAGAGGGAAGAGCAGAAGACGGUACCUCUUGAAUAAGCCACGGCUAACUACGUGCCAGCAGCCGCGGUCAUUCGUAGGUGGCAAGCUUUGGCCGGCUUUACUGGGUGUAAAGGGCGGGCAGCCGGGAAUACAAGUCAGAUGUGAAAUCCCGCGGCUCAACCGCGGAACUGCAUUUGAAACUGUUUUUCUUGAGUACCGGAGAGGUCAUCGGAAUUCCUUGUGUAGCUGUGAAAUGCGUAGAUAUAAGGAAGAACACCAGUGGCGAAGGCGGCUCUCUGGACUGUAACUGACACUGAGGCACGAAAGCGUGGGGAGCAAACAGGAUUAGAUACCCCAGUAGUC